AACGAACGCUGGCGGCAUGCCUAACACAUGCCAGUCGAACGAGACCUUCGGGUCUAGUGGCGCACGGGUGCGUAACGCGUGGGAACCUGCCCUUAGGUUCGGAAUAACUCCCCGAAAGGGGUGCUAUUACGGAAUAAGGUCUUCGACCCAAAAAUUUAUCGCCUUGGAUGGGGCCCGGGUUGAAUUAGCUAGUGGGUAGGGUAAAAGCCUACCAAGGCGACGAUCAUUAGCUGGUCUGAGAGGAUGAUCAGCAACACUGGGACUGAGACACGGCCCAGACUCCUACGGGAGGCAGCAGUGGGGAAUAUUGGACAAUGGGCGAAAGCCUGAUCCAGCAAUGCCGCGUGAGUGAUGAAGGCCUUAGGGUUGUAAAGCUCUUUUACCCGGGAUGAUAAUGACAGUACCGGGAGAAUAAGCUCCGGCUAACUCCGUG
rnacentral:rRNA from 1 species